AGAGUUUGAUCCUGGCUCAGAACGAGCGCUGGCGGCGUGCCUCAUACAUGCAAGUCGAGCGAGAAAGUUUCCUUCGGGGAGCGAGUACAGCGGCAAACGGGUGAGUAACACGUGGGAAACCUGCCCUUAGGUGGGGGAUAAGCCCUCGAAAGGGGGUCUAAUACCGCAUAAUAUCAGAAGACCGCAUGAUUUUCUGAUUAAAGCAGCAAUGCGCCGAUGGAUGGUCCCGCGUCUGAUUAGCUUGUUGGCAGGGUAAAAGCCUACCAAGGCUACGAUCAGUAGCCGGCCUGAGAGGGUGAACGGCCACACUGGGACUGAGAUACGGCCCAGACUCCUACGGGAGGCAGCAGUAGGGAAUAUUGCGCAAUGGCCUGACGGCUGACGCAGCAACGCCGCGUGGGUGAUGAAGUUUUUCGGAAUGUAAAACCCUUUCGGCAGGGAAGAAUUACCUUCGGGUUUUGACGGUACCUGCAUAAGAAGUCCCGGCCAACUCCGUGCCAGCAGCCGCGGUAAUACGGGGGGGACAAGCGUUGUUCGGAUUCACUGGGCGUAAAGCGCCCGUAGGCGGGCUGGCAAGUCGAAUGUGAAAACCGAAGGCUCAACCAUCGGCCUGCAUUCGAAACUGCUGGUCUUGAGUACUGGAGAGGAUGGCAGAAUUCCUGGUGUAGCGGUGAAAUGCGUAGAUAUCAGGAGGAAUACCGGUGGCGGAGGCGGCCAUCUGGACAGAUACUGACGCUGAGGGGCGAAGGCUAGGGGAGCAAACAGGAUUAGAUACCCUGGUAGUCCUAGCGGUAAACGAUGGGCACUAGGUGUUGGCGGUAUCGACCCCGCCAGUGCCGCAGCAAACGCAUUAAGUGCCCCGCCUGGGGAGUACGGCCGCAAGGCUGAAACUCAAAGGAAUUGACGGGGGCCCGCACAAGCGGUGGAGUAUGUGGUUCAAUUCGACAACGCGAAGAACCUUACCUGGGCUUGACAUGUGCAGGAAAGUCACAGAGAUGUGAUUCCCUCUUCGGAGGUCUGUACACAGGUGCUGCAUGGCUGUCGUCAGCUCGUGUCGUGAGAUGUUGGGUUAAGUCCCGCAACGAGCGCAACCCUCGUUCUUAGUUGCCAUCAGGUUAUGCUGGGAACUCUAAGAAGACUGCCGGUGACAAGCCGGAGGAAGGUGGGGAUGACGUCAAGUCCUCAUGGCCCUUACGUCCAGGGCUACACACGUACUACAAUGGCCGAUACAGAGGGUUGCAAGACUGCAAAGUGGAGCAAAUCCCUAAAGUCGGCCUCAGUUCAGAUUGGAGUCUGCAACCCGACUCCAUGAAGGCGGAAUCGCUAGUAAUCGCAGAUCAGCAGGCUGCGGUGAAUACGUUCCCGGGCCUUGUACACACCGCCCGUCAAGCCAUGGGAGUGGGGGGUACCCGAAGUCGCCGCUCUAACUUCGGAUGACGGCGCCUAAGGUAAAACCCACGACUGGGGCUAAGUCGGAACAAGGUA
rnacentral:rRNA from 1 species